rnacentral:rRNA from 1 species
UACGUAGGUGGCAAGCGUUGUCCGGAUUUAUUAGGUUUAAAGGGUGCGUAGGCGGUUUCAUAAGUCAGUGGUGAAAUACGGCAGCUCAACUGUCGAGGUGCCAUUGAUACUGUGAGACUUGAGUACAGACGAGGUAGGCGGAAUUGACGGUGUAGCGGUGAAAUGCUUAGAUAUCGUCAAGAACACCGAUAGCGAAGGCAGCUUACUAGGCUGUAACUGACGCUGAGGCACGAAAGUGUGGGGAUCAAACAGG